AACGCACAUUGCGCCUAUUAGUAUUCUAGUAGGCAUGCCUAUUCGAGCGUCAUUUCAACCCUUAAGCCUAGCUUAGUGUUGGGAGAUUACCUGGACCGCGCCGGCGGCGGUAACUCCCUAAAACCAUUGGCAGAGACAGUACACCUCUGAGCGUAGUAGUUUACCACCUCGCUUUCGCGGCCCGUACUGGCUAUCGCCACGAAACCUAUAUUUUUCUUCUGGUUGACCUCGGAUUAGGUAGGAAUACCCGCUGAACUUAA
rnacentral:misc_RNA from 1 species